CCUACGGGAGGCAGCAGUAGGGAAUCUUCCACAAUGGACGAAAGUCUGAUGGAGCAACGCCGCGUGUGUGAUGAAGGGUUUCGGCUCGUAAAACACUGUUGUAAGAGAAGAAUGACAUUGAGAGUAACUGUUGAGUGUGUGACGGUAUCUUACCAGAAAGGAACGGCUAAAUACGUGCCAGCAGCCGCGUUAAUACGUAUGUUCCAAGCGUUAUCCGGAUUGAUUGGGCGGAAAGCGAGCGCAGACGGUUGUUUACGGCUGACGACAAAGCCAUCAAAGUAACUGUGAAAGUGCGUUGGAAACUGGAUAACUUGAGUACAGUAGAGGAGAGUGGAACUCCAUGUGUAGCGGUGAAAUGCGUAGAUAUGUGGAAGAACACCAGUGGCUAAGUCGGCUCUCUGGACUGUAACUAACAUUGAGGCUAGAAAGUGUGGGUAGCAAACAGGAUUAGAUACCCUGGUAGUC
rnacentral:rRNA from 1 species